rnacentral:rRNA from 1 species
CUCUAUGGCCAUAUCACCCUGAACACGCCCCAAUCUUGUAAGCUGAGCAGGGUUAGUGCCCUUGUUAGUAUUUGGAUGGGGAGACCACUUGGGAAAAUUGGCCAAUAGAGU